rnacentral:rRNA from 1 species
CAGGCGCGUAAAUUGCCCGAAUCCUGACACAGAGAGGUAGUGAUAAGAAAUAACAAUACAGGGCCUUUUAGGUCUUGUGAUUGGAAUGAGUACAAUUUACAUCUCUUCGCGAGGAUCAAUUGGAGGGCAAGUCUGGUGCCAGCAGCCGCGGUAAUUCCAGCUCCAAUAGCGUAUAUUAAAAUGUUGCAGUUAAAACGCUCGUAGUCGGAUUUCGGGGCGGGUCCGCCGGUCUGCCGAUGGGUAUGCACUGGCUGGCGCGUCUUUCUUCCCGGAGACCGCGCCUACUCAUAAUUGAGCGGGCGCGGGAGACGGGACGUUUACUUUGAAAAAAUCAGAGUGUUUCAAGCAGGCCGUCGCUCUUGCAUGGUAUGAUGCAACAGGACUCUGGUGCUAUUUUGUUUGUUUUGAACACCGGAGCCAUGAUUGACAGGGACAGUCAGGGACAGUAUUCCGUCGGAGAGGUGCAAUUCUCAGACCAGCGGAAGCCGAACCACUGCGGAAGCAUUUGCCAGGGAUGUUUUCACUGAUCAAGAACGAAAGUUAGGGGAUCGAAGCUGAUUAGACACCGUCGUAGUCUGAACCAUAAACCAUGCCGGCUAGGGAUUGGAAGAUGUUCCAUUUGUGACUCCUUCAGCACCUUCCGGGGAACUGAAGUCUUUGGGUUCCGGCGGGAGAAUGGUCGCAAGGCUGAAACUCAAAGGAACUGACGGAAGGGCACCACGAGGUGUGGAGCCUGCGGCUUAAUUUGACUCAAGACGAGGAAACUGACCAGGUCCAGACAUUGUGAGGAUUGACAGAUUGAGAGCUCUUUCUUGAUUCGAUGGGUGGUGGGUGCAUGGCCGUUCUUAGUUGGUGGAGUGAUUUGUCUAUUGCAUCGUGAUGGGGAUAGAUUAUUGCAACUAUUAAUCUUCAACGAGGAAUACCUAGUAAGCGUGUGUCAUCAGCGUGCG